rnacentral:piRNA from 1 species
UGCCCUUCUCUGAGCACAUGGUGAGCCAGAC